rnacentral:rRNA from 1 species
CCUACGGGGGGCAGCAGUGGGGAAUAUUGCACAAUGGGGGAAACCCUGAUGCAGCGACGCCGCGUGAGUGAAGAAGUAAUUCUUUAUGUAAAGCUCUAUCAGCAGGGAAGAAAAUGACGGUACUUGAGUAAGAAGCCCCGGCUAACUACGUGCCAGCAGCCGCGGUAAUACGUAGGGGGCAAGCGUUAUCCGGAUUUACUGGGUGUAAAGGGAGCGUAGACGGCAGUGCAAGUCUGGAGUGAAAGGCGGGGGCUCAACCCCCGGACUGCUUUGGAAACUGUACGGCUGGAGUGCAGGAGAGGGAAGUGGAAUUCCUAGUGUAGCGGUGAAAUGCGUAGAUAUUAGGAGGAACACCAGUGGCGAAGGCGGCUUACUGGACUGUAACUGACGUUGAGGCUCGAAAGCGUGGGGAGCAAACAGGAUUAGAUACCCCAGUAGUC